rnacentral:lncRNA from 1 species
CUAGGCUCAAGUGAUUCUGCCCACCUCUGCCUCCCAAAGUGCUGGGAUUAUGGGCAUGAGCCAGCGCAUCUGGCCACCGUAUUUUCUAUUACUGGCUCAAUGUAAUGGCUCCAUCUCAGGAACAGCCAAUGAAAGAGAUGCACAGGACAAGAAACAGGACCUUGCCCUGUCACUCAGGAUGGAGUUCAGUGGUCCUAUCAUGGUUCAUUAUAGCCUCAAACUCCCAGGCUCAAGCAAUCCUACCAUGUCAGCCUUCCCAGUAGCUGGGACUACAGGUCUCACACUGUCACCCAGGCUGGAGUACAGUGGCACAACCUCUGCUCACUGCAGCCUCCACCUGCCAGGCUCAAGCAAUUCUCCUGCCUCAGCCUCCCGAGUAGCUGGGAUUACAAGAAGUGACCUCACAAUGACUCAAGCUACCACAUGCUGUUGAUUGUGAAAUGCCAGUUGAAGCAUAUGUCCUGCGAGCUUAGGGGUGCUACAAGUUGACCACUGCAGCAGUAAAGAUGACUCUGAAGAAUGGCGUGGGAUGGAUCCUUUCGAAUGCACUUGAGCAGCGGUCUCCAACCACAGGGCCACAGAGCUGGAGGUGAGCAGCAGCUGGAUCUACCAUGAAAGACUUCUGAAUCCAGGAAGAGAGACUGACUGGGCAACAUGUUAUUCAGGGUCUCCCUCUGUUGUCCAAGGCUGGAGUGUAGUAGUGCUAUCGCAGCUGACUGCAGCCUCAACCUUCCAGGCUGAAGCGAUCCUCCCAUCUCAACCUCCCACGUGGCUGAGACUACAGGUGCUUGCCACUAUGCCCAACUAAUAUUUGGAAUUUUCGUAUACGUGGAUUCCAGAGGGGUGACAGCAAAACGUGGGACCAUCCAGUUGCAGGAAAACAAGCUUAACAUGCCCACUGAUUCUACAUUAUGCUCCUACCUCCCGGCAGCAUCUCCAGGCCCAGAACUUUCUCCAGUCAGCCUCUACAGACCAAGCUCAUGACUCACAAUGGCCUAUUUAGGCCCAUACCCUACCUCACGGCAGUCUCCGCAGAUGAGCCUACUGCCUCACAACAGCCUCCACAGGCACAGCUCCGUCGUUACAAUGGCCUCUUUAGACCCAGCUCCUGCCUCCCAGCCUUCUCUCCAGGCCCUGAACUUUCUCAAGUCGACCUCACCAGGCCCAGCUCAUGCUUCUUUGCAGCCUCUCCAGGCCCAGCUCCUGCAUCUUGGUGACCCCUCCAGGCACAGCCUCUGCCUCCCGUCGGCCUCUACAGUCCCAACAUCUGCCUCACAGCAGAUUCUUCAGGCCCAGCAUCUGCCUCACUGUGGACCCCCCAAGCCAAGCUCCCAACCUUUCAGCAGCUUCUACACACCCAGCUCCUGCCACCCAGUGGCCUCUUUAGGCCAAGCUCAUGCUUCACAAGGGUCUUUCCAGGCCCAAUUUUUGUCUCAUGGCAACCUUCCCUGGCCAGAUUCCUGCCUGUCUCCCAGCAGCCUAGACAGGCCCAGGUCUUGCCUCACACUGGCCUCUCUACAUCCAGCUCAUGCCUCACGGUGGCCUCUCCAGGCUCAACUCCUGUCCCAGGACGUCAUCUCCGGGCCCAAAACUUAAAGUCAGACUCUCUAGUCCCAACUGCUGCCUCCUGGUGGAUUAUGAAGGCCCAAAAUCUCCUCAAGUUGACCUCUACAGGCCCAGCUCCUGCCUCCUGUCAGCGUCUACAGGCCCAACCUCUGCCUUAUGGGGGCUUCUCCAGGCCCACCUCUUCCUCUUGGCUGGGUCUACAGGCACAACUGCUGCCUCACAACAGCCUUUUUUGGCCCAGUUCCUGCCCAGCUCCCAGCGGCCCUGGUAGACCCACAACUUCCCGAAGCCAAGCUCCCCAGGCCCAGGUCAGGCCUCACGGUGGCCUCUCCAAGCUCAGCUCCUGCCCUCCAAUGGCAUCUGCAGGCCCCAAAUGGUCUCCAGUCGGUGGGCUCCUCCACGCCAAGCUUGGGCCUCUUGGCGACCUCUGCAGGCCCAAGUUGUCCUGAAGUCGGCCUCUCCCGGCCCUGCCUCCCAGCAAGUAAGCAAGCUCUUUUGGCUCAACUACUGCCGAGCUCCCAACCGCCUUUCUAGGCCCCGAACUUUCUCCAGCCAAGCUCUUCGGGCCUACUUCCUGCCUCCCGGUGGCCUGUACAGGCCCAGCACUGGUUGGAGAACAGCCUCUGCAGGCCCCACUCUUGCCUCCCAGGGGCCUCUCCAGGCCCAGCUCUUGCCCCCACGGCGGCCUCCCGGGGCCAAGUCCCUGCCUGCCUCCCAGCAGCCCGCAUGCGGCCCAGCUCCUUCUCACAGUGGCCUGUUGAUGCCCAACUCAUGCCUCUGGCACCCUGCCCAGAGACAUGAGCCCCUGCCUCUCACUGGCUCCUCCCACGCUGAGACAGGUCAGCGUGAGCCCUUGCCUCACACCGGCCCCUCCCACGCUGAGAGGUCAGCAUGAGCCCCUUGCCUCACACCGGCCCCUCCCACACUGAGAGAGGUCAGCGUGAGCCCUUGCCUCACACCGGCCCUCUCCCACGCUGAGAGAGGUCAGCGUGAGCCCUUGCCUCACACCGGCCCCUCCCACGCUGAGAGAGGUCAGCGUGAGCCCUUGCCUUACACCGGCCCCUCCCACGCUGACAGAGGUCAGCCUGAGCCCCUUGCCUCACACCGGCCCCUCCCACGCUGACAGAGGUCAGCCUGAGCCCCUUGCGUCACACCGGCCCCUCCCUCGCUGACAGAGGUCAGCGUGAGCCCCUAGCCUCACACCGGCCCCUCCCAGGCUGACAGAGGUCAGCGUGAGCCCCUUGCCUCACACCGGCCCCUCCCACGCUGACAGAAGUCAGCCUGAGCCCCUUGCCUCACACCGGCCCCUCCCUCGCUGACAGAAGUCAGCGUGAGCCCCUUGCCUCACACCGGCCCCUCCCACGCUGACAGAGGUCAGCGGGAGCCCCUUGCCUCACACCGGCCCCUCCCACGCUGACAGAGGUCAGCCUGAGCCCCUUGCCUCACACCGGCCCCUCCCACGCUGACAGAGGUCAGCCUGAGCCCCUUGCGUCACACCGGCCCCUCCCACGCUGACAGAGGUCAGCCUGAGCCCCUUGCCUCACACCGGCCCCUCCCACGCUGACAGAGGUCAGCAGGAGCCCCUAGCCUCACACCGGCCCCUCCCACGCUGACAGAGGUCAGCAGGAGCCCCUUGCCUCACACCGGCUCCUCCCACGCUGACAGAGGUCAGCCUGAGCCCCUUGCCUCACACCGGCCCCUCCCACGCUGACAGAGGUCAGCGGGAGCCCCUUGCCUCACACCGGCCCCUCCCAGGCUGACAGAGGUCCGCGGGAGCCCCUAGCCUCACACCGGCCCCUCCGACACUGACAGAGGUCCGCGGGAGCCCCUUGCCUCACACCGGCCCCUCCCAUGCUGACAGAGGUCAGCGUGAGCCCCUUGCCUCACACCGGCCCCUCCCACGCUGACAGAGGUCAGCCUGAGCCCCUUGCCUCACACCGGCCCCUCCCACGCUGACAGGUCAGCCUCAGCUCCUAGCCUCACACCGGCCCCUCCCAGGCUGACAGAGGUCCGCGGGAGCCCCUAGCCUCACACCGGCCCCUCCCACGCUGAGAGAGGUCAACGUGAGCCCCUUGCCUCACACCGGCCCCUCCCACGCUGACAGAGGUCAGCGGGAGCCCCUAGCCUCACGCCAGCCCCUCCCACGCUGACAGAGGUCAGCGGGAGCCCCUUGCCUCACACCGGCCCCUUCCACGCUGAGAGACGUCAGCGUGAGCCCUUGCCUCACAUCGGCCCCUUCCACGCUGAGAGAGGUCAGCGUGAGCCCCUGCCUCAACAGGCCACCGUGAGGGAGGAGCAGGCUUGCACGCGGGCUGCUGGGAGGCAGGCAGGGACUUGGGCCUGGGAGGUCACAGUGGGGCGAGAGCUGGGCCUGGAGACACCCCUGGGAGGCAACAGCGGGGCCUGCAGAUGCUCUUCUCCAGCCGGAGCUGGGACUGUUCAGGCUACUGGUGGCGGGAUGUGGGCCUGAGAGCUUGGUUGCAGAAACUUCGGGGUCUACAAAGGCCGGCGGGAGCUGAGCCAAAAGAGCUUGUUUGCUGGGAGGCAGGAGCUGGGCCGGGAGAUGCAGCCAGGAGGAACAGCUGGGCCUGAAGAGGCCCCCAUGUGGGAGGCAGAGGCCGGGCCUCCUCAAGUCGGCCUCUCCAGACCCACUUGCAGCCUCCCAGCGUCCUCUCCGGGCCCAGCUCUUCCUCCCGGCUGCGUCUCCAGGCCCGACUCUGGCCUCCCAACAACGUCUUUGGACUCAGCUCCUGCCCAGCUCCCAGCGGCCCUGGUAGACCCACAACUUCCUGAAGCCAAGCUCCCCAGGCCCAGCUCAGGCCUCACGGUGGCCUCUCCAGGCUCAGCUCCUGCCCUCCGAUGGCAUCUGCAGGCCCCAAAUGGCCUCCGGUCGGUGGGCUCCUCUAGGCCCAGCUUGGGCCUCCCGGCGGCCUCUGCAGGCCCAAAACGUCCCGAAGUUGGCCUCUCCAGGCCCAGCUCCGGCCUCCUGGCGGCCUUUGCAGGCCCAAGUCGUCCUCAAGUCGGCCUGGAAUUAGGCCUGGAAGAGCAGCAAGUCAGCCUCUCCGGGCCCAGCUCCAUCCUCUCGGCGGCCUCUCCAGGUGCAAAACUUCCUCGAGUCAGCCUCUCCAGGCCCAGCUCCUCCUGCCUCCCAGUGGCCUCUUUCAGCCCAGCCCAGCCCAGCUCAUGGCUCUCGGCAGCCUUCCCAGGCCCCGCUUUUGACUUUUGGCGGCCUCUUCAGGCCCAGAACUUGCCCUCCAGUGGACCUUUGCAGGCCCGGCCUCGGCCUCGGCCUCACAGCGGACUCUCCACGCCCAGCUAGCUCUCACCUCACUGCGGCCUCCCCAGUCCAAAGCUCCUGCCUUUCGGCCGCUUCGGCAGGUCCAGCUCCUGCCUGCCAGUGGCCUCUUUAGGCCCAGCUCAUUCCUCACAAUGGUCUUCCCAGGCCCCGUUUUUCCCUUCUGGCAGCCUCUUGGCCUCUAAUUUGUUUAUCUUUUGUGUAUAAAUCCCAAAAUAUGGAAUUUUGGAAUAUUUCCACCAUUAUAUGAAUAUUUUGGUAGGUAAUUUAUUUGGAGUUAGUUUCUGCACCAUGCCCGAAUUUUUUAUUUUAUUUUCCUUAUUAUUUGGUGUUAAACAGAUUUAAUGACGGUCAUGGCAACUUUUUGGCACAAUGAAAAAUAUCGCCCAUGAAAAAAAAAAAAAAAAAA